rnacentral:rRNA from 1 species
UACGGAGGGUGCAAGCAUUAAUCGGAUUUAUUGGGCGUAAAGGGCGCGUAGGCGGGGAUGUAAGUCAGAUGUGAAAUCCCGGGGCUCAACCUCGGAACAGCAUUUGAAACUGCAACUCUAGAGGGUAGGCGGAGAAAAUGGAAUUCCACAAGUAGCGGUGAAAUGCGUAGAUAUGUGGAAGAACACCAGUGGCGAAGGCGAUUUUCUAGCUUAUUCCUGACGCUAAAGCGCGAAAGCAAGGGGAUCAAACAGG